ACCAUUUUCUCUAUUCUUUUUCUAAAAGUUAAGACUUCUAACUAAUUAAAAUAUUUCUUUAUUCACAUUAGAAGAAUGUAUGAUGAUCACGAAAGAGUUGCUAGAGGAGAAAGAAAAAGCUCAAAUGUAUGUUUAAAGUCAUCCAUUGUUGUUCCAUCUAUUUAGAAUUGUGUAAGUUAGGUAUGAAAAAAUCCUAUAUAUGGAGUAUCACCAACGAAUGAGCUCCUCGCGGCUCACGGCUAAAUUUCGAUCUCCGAUUAAAAUAAAAGAAAUUGAUGUAGGCUUACAACAAUAUCAGAAUUUUCGAACAUUUAUAGUUUCAAGCUAUGAAUUUGAGAUUAUCUUUAUGAGUUAGUUUUUAGAUAAAUUUGAUGUUUUUUCCUUUCAAUAUUUAAUAGUGACUCAGUUUUGAUGAUAUUAUUUUUCUAAAAAGUAGAACUUCUAACUAAUUAACAUAUUUGAUUAUCCAUAUUAAAAGAGCGUAUGAUGGCCAUGAAGAAGUUGUUGAAGGAGAAAGCAGGUUUGGAGACUAAUUAACGUUACAAAAGGAGAAAAAAAAGUUGAGGAUUUUUUUUAAAGUUAAGGUAUAUAUUCAAAGUACUUGAUGAAGAUCUUAAUCUUAAUCACUUAGAGUUUAUUUAUUAUAUUUUAUUAUCUUUUGGAUAGAGAUUUUUGGAGGAGAAAAAGAUUGUGAAUUAGAUUUUUGUAGAUCUGAAUCUUUUGUUUUUUAAAAUUUUCUAAGGUAUGUAAACAGAGAAUUUGAUGAAGG
rnacentral:lncRNA from 1 species